UACGUAAGUCCCAAGCGUUACUCGGAAUUACUGGGUGUAAAGGGUUUGUAGGCGGAUGAUUAAGUCGGAAAUGAAAGACCGGGGCUCAACCCCGUGUUAGUCUUCGAUACUGGUCGUCUAGAGUUAGGAAGAGGUAAGCGGAAUUCUAAGUGUAGGGGUGUAAUCCGUAGAUACUUAGAAGAACACCAAAAGCGAAGGCAGCUUACUGGUACUAUACUGACGCUGAGAAACGAAAGCGUGGGUAGCGAAAAGG
rnacentral:rRNA from 1 species